AGACCCUCCCUCCCAGACCCUCCUACUUCCUGGACAGCAUCCACAUGGAUGCUGUCCAGGAAGUAGGAGGGUCUGGGAGGGAGGGUC